ACUCCUACGGGAGGCAGCAGUGGGGAAUAUUGCACAAUGGGCGCAAGCCUGAUGCAGCAACGCCGCGUGAGGGACGACGGCCUUCGGGUUGUAAACCUCUUUUAGUAGGGAAGAAGCGAAAGUGACGGUACCUGCAGAAAAAGCACCGGCUAACUACGUGCCAGCAGCGCCGGUAAUACGUAGGGUGCAAGCGUUAUCCGGAAUUAUUGGGCGUAAAGAGCUCGUAGGCGGUUUGUCGCGUCUGCUGUGAAAACUGGAGGCUCAACCUCCAGCCUGCAGUGGGUACGGGCAGACUAGAGUGCGGUAGGGGAGAUUGGAAUUCCUGGUGUAGCGGUGGAAUGCGCAGAUAUCAGGAGGAACACCGAUGGCGAAGGCAGAUCUCUGGGCCGUAACUGACGCUGAGGAGCGAAAGCAUGGGGAGCGAACAGGAUUAGAUACCCUGGUAGUCCAUGCCGUAAACGUUGGGAACUAGAUGUAGGGACCAUUCCACGGUUUCUGUGUCGCAGCUAACGCAUUAAGUUNCCCGCCUGGGGAGUACGGCCGCAAGGCUAAAACUCAAAGGAAUUGACGGGGGCCCGCACAAGCGGCGGAGCAUGCGGAUUAAUUCGAUGCAACGCGAAGAACCUUACCAAGGCUUGACAUAUACCGGAAAAGUGCAAAAAUGUACUCCCCGCAAGGUCGGUAUACAGGUGGUGCAUGGUUGUCGUCAGCUCGUGUCGUGAGAUGUUGGGUUAAGUCCCGCAACGAGCGCAACCCUCGUUCUAUGUUGCCAGCACGUAAUGGUGGGAACUCAUAGGAGACUGCCGGGGUCAACUCGGA
rnacentral:rRNA from 1 species